AGUAAAAGGACCAGUUCUCCACAUGACACAUGCCUAUAGUACACCGUGACUGGCAGAUGUUUUCCUCUCCUGAAAUAAGCCUCGACUCUAUUCGAUCUGCAGAACCUUGGCAUGAAGAACAUUUUAUGUUUCUUCUGUGAAGUAAAAAGGCAAGUCUUGUAGACUGAUGGCGAUUAACCAUAAU
rnacentral:lncRNA from 1 species